rnacentral:rRNA from 1 species
UGGGGAAUAUUGCACAAUGGGCGAAAGCCUGAUGCAGCGACGCCGCGUGAGGGAUGACGGCCUUCGGGUUGUAAACCUCUUUCAGUAGGGAAGAAGCGAAAGUGACGGUACCUGCAGAAGAAGCGCCGGCUAACUACGUGCCAGCAGCCGCGGUAAUACGUAGGGCGCAAGCGUUAUCCGGAAUUAUUGGGCGUAAAGAGCUCGUAGGCGGUUUGUCGCGUCUGCCGUGAAAGUCCGGGGCUCAACCCCGGAUCUGCGGUGGGUACGGGCAGACUAGAGUGAUGUAGGGGAGACUGGAAUUCCUGGUGUAGCGGUGAAAUGCGCAGAUAUCAGGAGGAACACCGAUGGCGAAGGCAGGUCUCUGGGCAUUAACUGACGCUGAGGAGCGAAAGCAUGGGGAGCGAACA